GGGAGCUCAGUCCUAAACAAGCGCCCGCAUUUGUACUAAAAAGAUGAGAGGCAGCCACUAGAGUUUUGAACCUCCCUCCAAUCCUCCCCGCUACCCCGUCACCCUUUCUACACGCUCCCUUUGGGGACCCCAGACUGUGCUUUAGAGUAGCCUGCAAUCUCGGCCAGUCGGUGGUGUAGUGAACCUGAGACUUGAUUGAAACACCCAUCCUGCAGGGAAUCUCAAGCAGGAAGGUAAACAAGUCAAUAAAUGAUCUUCAGGAAGUUCCUGAAACUGACAAGAUUCACGGGUGGGAGGGAUCAACCAGAGAAAGCAAUAAAAGCAGAAAGUCCCCGUUAGAGAAGGAAAGAUGAGCUGUGAAGACUCUCAAACAAGCCAGGCUGCAGACUCUGAGACCUGACCAGCAGCCUGGAAGAGGCAUAAAUCAUCCAGACUUCCUGGAAGAGGUUUAAACCACCUGAGGCACCUGGAAAGGACACUCUCCAACUUGAUGAGCUACCUGCAAGCUGUGCAGCCUGCUCCAGGGUCCCAGCUUUGUGAGCUGUCACCAGUCCUGGGGGUGGGCUUUGGUGAUGCGGCUGUCUUUGAGUCACUCCUGCUCCUGUAAGGGACCCCUCACCUAUAUUCCCAUAAGUAACCCCAAUAAAACUCACUUCUUGUG